rnacentral:lncRNA from 1 species
GUGAAGUAAAUGGAUUUUGGGGUGAAAUGAGGGGAUUUGGGGUGAAAUAAAGGGAUUUCGGGGGGAAAUGAGGAGGUUUGGGGUGGAAUGAAGAGGUUUUGGGGUGAAAUAAAGGGAUUUUGGGGGUGAAAUGAGGGGAUUUGGGGUGAAAUAAAGGGAUUUUGGGGGGGAAAUGAGGGGAUUUGGGGUGAAAGAAAUGGAUUUUGGGGAUGAAAUGAGGGGAUUUGGGGUGGUAUGAAGAGGUUUUGGGGUGAAAUAAAGGGAUUUUGGGGGUGAAAUGAGGGCACCUGGAAAGAAUUAAAGGGAUUUGGGGUAAAAUGAGGGGAUGUGGGGUGAAAUAAAGGGACUUAUGGGGUGAAAUGAGGGGAUUUUAGGGGGAAACGGACCCAAUUUGGGUCGAAACGAUUGGAAUUUGGGGCAACGAAGCGGCACUGAAAGGUGUUGAAGGCAUUUUGGGGGGGAAUAAUGCGAUUUUGGGGCGGAAAAAUGCGAUUUUUUGGGAAAAAAGUGGGGAGAAUUUGGGACGCAAGGAAUGCACUGAGGGAUACGGAGAGCUUUUUGGGGUGAAAUACGUGGAUUUUGGGGACAGAACACAGGCUUGGGGGCUGGGCGGGACGUUUUGGGGUAGAAAAACGGGUUUUUGGGAAGGAAAAGUGCGCCUGAGGGCUGAAAUCGAAGGAUUUCAAGCCGGGAAGGGCGGAUUUUGGGGCGAAAAAGUGCGGUUUUGGGGCUCUUUCC